CUGUAUAGUCAUAGCGUACCACGGUCCUACCAGUAGGACUUAUUAUAAAAGCCAUAAUUUUGAUUUAAAAUUUCGUGCCAAUAUAAACUGACGUAUACGAUUUUCUAGAGGGGUAUUUGAGUUUGAAUGUGAACACACUCAUAAGCUUGAAAAAUAAAAACAAAGUGUCAAACUGACAAGUUACAGACGGCGACAUGGGUAUUCCGUGAAGGAGAGGAUUAAAUGACAGAGAAACAUAAUUCGCUCUUAGGGAAUCAGAAAUAGAAACUGAAGAUGAAGAAACAGACUUUUGCGACAUAAAACUCAUAGAAACAAAUUUUGUACAAACAAGAUCCCGGUAUGAUUCCUCUAGUUCCUAUGUCGAUAUUUCUCUGUCAGAACUAAUUUCAAAGACUAACCACGGCAGAACCCGAUAUUUUGCCGUGCAGCUUCUGGACGUCGUCGAGGAGCGCCUACAAGAGGACGAUCUCAGGCUCGCAGUGGAGUAACGUUCGUCCAAGACUGAUUAAAAGUGAUUAGUGCAUUAUAUUAUUUAAAUAAGACUAUUAUUUUAUUGUAUUCAUUCAAUAAAACUAAAAAAGAAACAAAUC